rnacentral:rRNA from 1 species
AACGAACGCUGGCGGCGUGCCUAACACAUGCAAGUCGAACGAGAAAUCCUGAGCAAUCGGGAGAGUAAAGUGGCGCACGGGUGAGUAACGCGUGGGUAACCUAACCUUGAACUGGGAAUAACUCUUCGAAAGGAGAGUUAAUACCGAAUAAUAUUCCGAUUCCUUCGGGGGUUGGAAUCAAAGAUGGCCUCUGCAUGCAAGCUAUCGUUCAAGGAUGGGCCCGCGUACCAUUAGCUUGUUGGCAGGGUAAUGGCCUACCAAGGCAGCGAUGGUUAGCUGGUCUGAGAGGAUGGUCAGCCACACUGGAACUGAGACACGGUCCAGACUCCUACGGGUGCUG